rnacentral:rRNA from 1 species
GUGGGGAAUAUUGGACAAUGGGCGAAAGCCUGAUCCAGCAAUGCCGCGUGAGUGAUGAAGGCCUUAGGGUUGUAAAGCUCUUUUACCAGGGAUGAUAAUGACAGUACCUGGAGAAUAAGCUCCGGCUAACUCCGUGCCAGCAGCCGCGGUAAUACGGAGGGAGCUAGCGUUGUUCGGAAUUACUGGGCGUAAAGCGCACGUAGGCGGUUACUCAAGGCAGAGGUGAAAGCCCGGGGCUCAACCCCGGAACGGCCUUUGAAACUAGGUAACUAGAAUCUUGGAGAGGUCAGUGGAAUUACGAGUGUAGAGGUGAAAUUCGUAGAUAUUCGGAAGAACACCAGUGGCGAAGGCGACUGACUGGACAAGUAUUGACGCUGAGGUGCGAAAGCGUGGGGAGCAAACAGGAUUAGAUACCCGAGUAGUCC